rnacentral:lncRNA from 13 species
AGCAUUGUUCUGAUUACAGUGGAGAGCUCUUUGAGACAGGCCACUUCACGAGUCAUUCCAGCAUAUGGGUAGUGGCCAUUCUAUUACAGUUAGUGCUCGGUUUCUGCAUUACAGUAGCCCAGGAGCUUUUGCCUGAGAAAAUAGACUAGUUAGAAGGGGACUUUGAGCAUAGCACAUAGAAAAAAAGAUGGAAUCUAUUGUCAAUAGAGAAAAGAUGGAAACAAAGUCUGCUUCCACUGAAGAUACAGUGUUUCAAAUCUGAUCAAUGUCAAAGGACUUUUCAGAAAGAUUUCUCAUUUUGAAAGACACUUAGUGGGUCUUCAAAAUGGAAAAGUCAGCAGAAGAUUGAAAGCUUUCGAUGUCAGGACUCUACCAGCUUAAGUCAAGUGUCUCAAGCCAUGUGAAGAUAGAACAAGAAAACAAACCAAGAAUCUUGCCUCACCAGCUACCAGAUCUGCCAGCAACUUGAACUUAGACUUCCCAGCCUCCAUAAUGCUCUGUAUCCGAGGCCAGGAAAUGGCUGCAUCCGAAGAUACAAAACAUGCUCCCCUAGACACAAGAAGAUGAACAGAGUUGUCUUAUCUAAAAUCUGCUGGGCCGGGCAAGCAUGAUG